CCCUUAGAUGUUCUGGGCUGCACGCGCGCUACACUGAUGCGUUCAACGAGUGUAUCGCCUUGCCCGAUAGGGUUGGGUAAUCUUUUGAACACGCAUCGUGAUGGGGAUAGAUUAUUGCAAUUAUUAAUCUUCAACGAGGAAUUCCUAGUAAUGAUGAAUCAUCAGUUCAUCGUGAUUACGUCCCUGCCCUUUGUACACACCGCCCGUCGCUACUACCGAUUGAACGUUUUAGUGAGGUAUUUGGACUGGACCUUCGGAGGUUCGCGCCUCCGUUGCUGUUCGGGAAGACUCCCAAACUUGAGCGUUUAGAGGAAGUAAAAGUCGUAACA
rnacentral:rRNA from 1 species